AGUCUCCUUACCACUAUCGCGACUUCACAGGGAAGUUGUAGACAUGGAUGGAUCAGCUUCCAGAAUUCCUGCUACAUGUUUUCACACACUGUCUUAACGCGGACUGAAGCUGAGGAAGUGUGCGAAAUUACCCAUGGUACUCUAGCAACUGUCCAGACAGAAGAAGAGCAAACGUUUCUCGAGACAUACCUGAAUGGACUUCAUGCAACAGAAAAGUCAGACUUUCCGAUGAAAACCUAAGCUUUUUUUUCAAAAGACAGAAGUUGAUUGGAAAGAGGAGUGAGAUACUAUCCCAAAUUCAGUUACAAUAAUGC